UAGGGAAUCUUCCACAAUGGACGCAAGUCUGAUGGAGCAACGCCGCGUGAGUGAAGAAGGUUUUCGGAUCGUAAAGCUCUGUUGUUGGUGAAGAAGGAUAGAGGCAGUAACUGGUCUUUAUUUGACGGUAAUCAACCAGAAAGUCACGGCUAACUACGUGCCAGCAGCCGCGGUAAUACGUAGGUGGCAAGCGUUGUCCGGAUUUAUUGGGCGUAAAGCGAGCGCAGGCGGAAUGAUAAGUCAGAUGUGAAAGCCCACGGCUCAACCGUGGAACUGCAUCGGAAACUGUCAUUCUUGAGUGCAGAAGAGGAGAGUGGAAUUCCAUGUGUAGCGGUGGAAUGCGUAGAUAUAUGGAAGAACACCAGUGGCGAAGGCGGCUCUCUGGUCUGCAACUGACGCUGAGGCUCGAAAGCAUGGGUAGCGAACAGG
rnacentral:rRNA from 1 species